UAAGGCCCUCGCUCAGCCAGGAGGCCGUGGCUGUCUGGGUAGUGAGGCAGAAACCUCCAGGCACGGCCUCACCAGCGAGCUCAGAAACUGGUCCUGCAGGGCCAGCUGCCCGGCCAGCAGCCUCAGCCAGACUCACCAAGCCAAGGCCCAAGCCCAGACACAUGGAGGUCCCUGCUCCUCGUCACGGGACAGCUUGUCACGAAGCCAGGAGAGCUGCUGCCAGAGCUUCAGAGGCUCUUGUGCUUUUCUUCUGAGAGCCCUUAGAUGUGGUGGAGGAGCCGUUGCCAGCAACUCUGAGACCUGGGAAGAGGCUGGAGACUCCAGGCAGCCAAGGGAGAGGCUUCCUAAAGUCGAUGCGAGAGCCUGGCAGGCUGACUGGUGGAAUAAGCUCAGGCCCAGUGGAGGUGACAGGAAGUCUCAAUGGACAGCCCUUUCCGGAUGGGAGGCCCACCCAGGAGACAGGGCCAAGUCCCCAGAGCUCCUGUCAGAAUGGGAGGCACUGCUGCAGCUGGGAGAGGGAAGACCUGUGUGUCCACUGAUUGUCACAGAGAUUGGCCUGAGGCUGACCAAGCGGCCACACCUGGCUCAGAGAGCCUUGUACACGGGAGCAGCAGCAGGAGAGCCAGGUUACAGAGGGCCUUGUAAGCCUCAGUGAGCAUUUCGGUCUUGAACCCUGUGAACUCAGAAGUUACUGCACGGCUGACUCAGGAGACCACAGGAAAUGGCUUCUCUGGGGGCACAGAGCAUCAUAUCAGAAGUUGUGGGCAUUAGCAUAUCAGAGCCAACAGAUAUUCCUGGUUUCCAGGUGUGGAGUGGAAAUUCUGCCUUUAGGACACCAGCUGGCUGGUGUGGUGGUGCACACCUAUAAUCCCAGCACUAGGGAAGAUGAGCCAGGAGGAUCACAUGUUCAAGCCUGGCCUGGGUAAUUUAGCAAGACUAUCUCAAAAAAUGAAAAAAGGGCUGGAUGUAGCUCAGCGCAAAGACUCUGGGUUCAAUCUGCAAUACCACACAUACACAGAAGCCAAAAACCAAAAAAUGCUUUAUUUACAAAAGUCAGUCUAGCUGGGUUUGGUCUGUGGACCUGUUUGCUGAUCUCUAACAUAGAAAGAAUAUAUUAGGAACAUAUAAGGACUUGUAUCAGGAUGUCUAUUGCAUUAUUGUAGUUUGAAGAGGAAAAAAAGCCAAAGACCUGAUACAACCUACACAUCCACCAUUAGUUUAUGAGUUCAGUGUGAUGGUUGAGAAAUCCUGGCAAGUUUAUUCUACAGAUUUAAAGCAAAUGUUCAAGGGAACCAGUGAAUUAUGGGCCUCCUGACUUGGACGAGCAUCUGUAAGGUAUUAGGUGUACACAGCAGUCUGCAGAACAACACAACCGACCUGCACACCUGUCCACGCUGUGGCUCCGUAGGGCCCUGCUGUCACAGAAGGCCCUCCUCCGUCCCUCUGAUGCUGAGCCGGGCCAUGAGGCUCGCUGUGACUGUGGAGUGUUAGCAGGUGUGAGCAGAGCCCAUCCCUGUGCCUGCAUAGUCGCUGCUUGCGUUUUGGCAUUUGGGUGCUGAAGACAGAACACAGAGCCUUGAGCAGGCUAAGCCCAUCCCUCUACCACCAGAGCUCUGCCUCCAGUCCUGCCGUACAUGGUUCCCCGUGGUUUCUGUGCUCCCAGGGGCACCUUUCGAAGAACAUACCCUGAGUGGCCACUAGAGCAAGGUUGACAAGGAGCAGGCGAGGCAAGCCCAGCCCAGGCACCGCAGCCUGAAGCAGAACUGCCCAGCCUGCACCUGCAGAGCCAGGAGCUUAAGAGAAAAGGCUUUGGCCGGGCAUGGUGACGCAUGCCUGGAAUCCCAGCACUCGGAAGGCUGUGGCAGGAGGACCAACUUGAAUUCAAGGCCAGCCUGAUCUACACAGCAAGACCCUGUCCCCCUACAAAAACAAAUAAACAAAAAAGAAUAAAAGCUUAGGUCCAUGUUUUGCUGCUAUAACAAAAUACCAGAGGGGCCGGGGAUUUAGCUCAGUGGUUUCACCGCCUGCUGCGCAAGCACAAGGACCCAAGAUCGAUCCCUGGUACCAAAAAAAAAAACCCAACAAAAUACCAGAGGCUGGGUAAUUCAUAAAGAAAAUAAAUUGUGGGCCAGGUGUGGUAGGGUACCCCUGUAAUCCAGAACUUGAGAGGCUGAGACAGUAGGAUCCCUAUGAAUUUGAGACCAGCCUGGGCUACAUAGGGAGUUCAGAGCCAGCCUGAACUACGUAGAG
ensembl:lncRNA